GACGAACGCUGGCGGCGUGCUUAACACAUGCAAGUCGAACGGAAAGGCCCUGCUUUUGUGGGGUGCUCGAGUGGCGAACGGGUGAGUAACACGUGAGUAACCUGCCCUUGAAUUUGGGAUAACUUCAGGAAACUGGGGCUAAUACCGGAUAGGAGCUCCUGCUGCAUGGUGGGGGUUGGAAAGUUUCGGCGGUUGGGGAUGGACUCGAGGCUUAUCAGCUUGUUGGUGGGGUAGUGGCUUACCAAGGCUUUGAAGGGUAGCCGGCCUGAGAAGGUGACCGGCCACAUUGGGCCUGAGAGACGGCCCAGACGCCUACGGGAGGCAGCAGUGGGGAAUAUUGCACAAUGGGGCGAAGCCUGAUGCAGCAACGCCGCGUGCGGGAUGACGGCCUUCGGGUUGUAAACCGCUUUCGCCUGUGACGAAGCGUGAGUGACGGUAAUGGGUAAAGAAGCACCGGCUAACUACGUG
rnacentral:rRNA from 1 species